rnacentral:rRNA from 1 species
AUUGAACGCUGGCGGCAGGCCUAACACAUGCAAGUCGAGCGGAGCGGCGGACGGGGGAGUACUGCCUAGGAAUCUGCCUGUUGGUGGGGGAUAAAGCCCGGAAACUGGCCCUAAUACCGCAUACUAUCAGAUGAGCCUAGGUCGGAUUAGGUAGUUGGUGGGGUAAGGGCCUACCAAGGCGACGACCCGUAACUGGUCUGAGUGGCUGAUCAGUCACACGGGAACUGAGACACGGUCCAGACUCCUACGGGAGGCAGCAGUGGGGAAUAUUGGACAAUGGGCGAAAGCCUGAUCCAGCCAUGCCGCGUGUGUGAAGAAGGUCUUCGGAUUGUAAAGCACUUUUAGUUGGGAAGCGUUACCAACAGAAUAAGCACCGGCUAACUUCGUGCCAGCAGCCGCGGUAAUUC